rnacentral:rRNA from 1 species
GAUGAACGCUGGCGGCGUGCCUAAUACAUGCAAGUCGAGCGAACGGACGAGAAGCUUGCUUCUCUGAUGUUAGCGGCGGACGGGUGAGUAACACGUGGAUAACCUACCUAUAAGACUGGGAUAACUUCGGGAAACCGGAGCUAAUACCGGAUGAUAUUUUGAACCGCAUGGUUCAAAAGUGAAAGACGGUCUUGCUGUCACUUAUAGAUGGAUCCGCGCUGCAUUAGCUAGUUGGUAAGGUAACGGCUUACCAAGGCAACGAUGCAUAGCCGACCUGAGAGGGUGAGCGGCCACACUGGAACUGAGACACGGUCCAGACUCCUACGGGAGGCAGCAGUAGGGAAUCUUCCGCAAUGGGCGAAAGCCUGACGGAGCAACGCCGCGUGAGUGAUGAAGGUCUUCGGAUCGUAAAACUCUGUUAUUAGGGAAGAACAUAUGUGUAAGUAACUGUGCACAUCUUGACGGUACCUAAUCAGAAAGCCACGGCUAACUACG